AAGAGGAUCUGAGACCCGUGUACCUUCAACUGGAGUAUCAGGCUUGCCUGGCUCAACACAAGGAGGAUCCGCAGCGACCGGAGGAAGUGGUGCAGGUUCAGGGCCUACCGCCCCAGUCUCAGGAGAAACAAGGACCAGUGUUAUAUCAGGAACCAACGUACCUGUCUCUGGAGCACCAGUGACCCCUGGAUCAUCAGCAGGAAGUUCGGGAGCACCUGGAACAGGUGGUCCAGGUUCAGAGACAGCUUCCCCAUUGUCUGGAGCAGCAGGGACAAGUGCUACAGGAUCAGGAACCAGCAUCCCUCCAUCUGGAGCACCCGUAACCCCUGAACCACCCCUCAUAAGCACAGGAGCAAGUGCAGGACCUCCUGCAAGCUCAGAGUCAACCGUCACAUUACCUGGAGCAACAGGGACUGAUGUUCUAAGAUCUGGAACCAGCUUACCUGUAUCUGGAGGAGCCGUGACCCCUGCGUCAUCACCAGGAGGGUCAUCAGCCACUGCAGGACCUGCUGUAGGUUCACAAACAACUGUCCAGGUUUCUGGGGCAACAGGGACCGAUGUUCUAAGGUCUGGAGCCAGCUUACCUGUAUCCGGAGCAGCAGUGAGCCCUGGAUCAUCACCAGGACGGUCAAGAGCAACUGCAGUAUCUGGUGAAGGCUCUCAGCCCACUGUCGCAUUAUCUGGAGCAACAGGGACUAGUGCUGGACCAUCAGGAACCCGUUCCGCCUCCUCUGGAAUACCGGCAACACCUGGAUCAACCACAGGAAGGGCAGCAGGAGCUGGGACCCCGGCUGUAGAUUCCCAGCAAAGUGCCAGCUUGCUUGCAGCUGCAAGGCCGACCGCGCUAGGACCAGGAACCAGUGCGCCUUCAGGUGAAACAUCAGAAAGCCGUUCAUCAGUACCUGGAGGAUCAGAAACCACUCAACAACCUGGCGCAGGUUCAGAGUCCCCCACCCUGUCGCCUGGGGUUACAAGGACGACUGCUCUAAGAGGAUCUGAGACCCGUGUACCUUCAACUGGAGUAUCAGGCUUUCCUGGCUCAACACAAGGAGGAUCCGCAGCGACCGGAGGAAGUGGUGCAGGUUCAGGGCCUACCGCCCCAGUCUCAGGAGAAACAAGGACCAGUGUUAUAUCAGGAACCAACGUACCUGUCUCUGGAGCACCAGUGACCCCUGGAUCAUCAGCAGGAAGUUCGGGAGCACCUGGAGCAGGUGGUCCAGGUUCAGAGACAGCUUCCCCAUUGUCUGGAGCAGCAGGGACAAGUGCUACAGGAUCAGGAACCAGCAUCCCUCCAUCUGGAGCACCCGUAACCCCUGAACCACCCCUCAUAAGCACAGGAGCAAGUGCAGGACCUCCUGCAAGCUCAGAGUCAACCGUCACAUUACCUGGAGCAACAGGGACUGAUGUUCUAAGAUCUGGAACCAGCUUACCUGUAUCUGGAGGAGCCGUGACCCCUGCGCCAUCACCAGGAGGGUCAUCAGCCACUGCAGGACCUGCUGUAGGUUCACAAACAACUGUCCAGGUUUCUGGGGCAACAGGGACCGAUGUUCUAAGGUCUGGAGCCAGCUUACCUGUAUCCGGAGCAGCAGUGAGCCCUGGAUCAUCACCAGGAUGGUCAAGAGCAACUGCAGUAUCUGGUGAAGGCUCUCAGCCCACUGUCGCAUUAUCUGGAGCAACAGGGACUAGUGCUGGACCAUCAGGAACCCGUUCCGCCUCCUCUGGAAUACCGGCAACACCUGGAUCAACCACAGGAAGGGCAGCAGGAGCUGGGACCCCGGGUGUAGAUUCCCAGCAAACUGCCAGCUUGCCUGCAGCUGCAAGGCCGACUGCGCUAGGACCAGGAACCAGUGCGCCUUCAGGUGAAACAUCAGAAAGCCGUUCAUCAGUACCUGGAGGAUCAGAAACCACUCAACAACCUGGCGCAGGUUCAGAGUCCCCCACCCUGUCGCCUGGGGUUACAAGGACGACUGCUCUAAGAGGAUCUGAGACCCGUGUACCUUCAACUGGAGUAUCAGGCUUGCCUGGCUCAACACAAGGAGGAUCCGCAGCGACCGGAGGAAGUGGUGCAGGUUCAGGGCCUACCGCCCCAGUCUCAGGAGAAACAAGGACCAGUGUUAUAUCAGGAACCAACGUACCUGUCUCUGGAGCACCAGUGACCCCUGGAUCAUCAGCAGGAAGUUCGGGAGCACCUGGAACAGGUGGUCCAGGUUCAGAGACAGCUUCCCCAUUGUCUGGAGCAGCAGGGACAAGUGCUACAGGAUCAGGAACCAGCAUCCCUCCAUCUGGAGCACCCGUAACCCCUGAACCACCCCUCAUAAGCACAGGAGCAAGUGCAGGACCUCCUGCAAGCUCAGAGUCAACCGUCACAUUACCUGGAGCAACAGGGACUGAUGUUCUAAGAUCUGGAACCAGCUUACCUGUAUCUGGAGGAGCCGUGACCCCUGCGUCAUCACCAGGAGGGUCAUCAGCCACUGCAGGACCUGCUGUAGGUUCACAAACAACUGUCCAGGUUUCUGGGGCAACAGGGACCGAUGUUCUAAGAUCUGGAACCAGCUUACCUGUAUCCGGAGUAGCAGUGAGCCCUGGAUCAUCACCAGGGAGGUCCGGAGCAACUGCAGUAUCUAGUCAAGGCUCUCAGCCCACUGUCGCAUUAUCUGGAGCAACAGGGACUAGUGUCGGACCAUCGGGCACCCGUUUCUCCUCCUCUGCAAUACCGGCAACACCUGGAUCAACCACAGGAAGGGCAGCAGGAGCUGGGACCCCGGGUGUAGAUUCCCAGCAAACUGCCAGCUUGCCUGCAGCUGCAAGGCCGACUGCGCUAGGACCAGGAACCAGUGCGCCUUCAGGUGAAACAUCAGAAAGCCGUUCAUCAGUACCUGGAGGAUCAGAAACCACUCAACAACCUGGCGCAGGUUCAGAGUCCCCCACCCUGUCGCCUGGGGUUACAAGGACGACUGCUCUAAGAGGAUCUGAGACCCGUGUACCUUCAACUGGAGUAUCAGGCUUGCCUGGCUCAACACAAGGAGGAUCCGCAGCGACCGGAGGAAGUGGUGCAGGUUCAGGGCCUACCGCCCCAGUCUCAGGAGAAACAAGGACCAGUGUUAUAUCAGGAACCAACGUACCUGUCUCUGGAGCACCAGUGACCCCUGGAUCAUCAGCAGGAAGUUCGGGAGCACCUGGAACAGGUGGUCCAGGUUCAGAGACAGCUUCCCCAUUGUCUGGAGCAGCAGGGACAAGUGCUACAGGAUCAGGAACCAGCAUCCCUCCAUCUGGAGCACCCGUAACCCCUGAACCACCCCUCAUAAGCACAGGAGCAAGUGCAGGACCUCCUGCAAGCUCAGAGUCAACCGUCACAUUACCUGGAGCAACAGGGACUGAUGUUCUAAGAUCUGGAACCAGCUUACCUGUAUCUGGAGGAGCCGUGACCCCUGCGUCAUCACCAGGAGGGUCAUCAGCCACUGCAGGACCUGCUGUAGGUUCACAAACAACUGUCCAGGUUUCUGGGGCAACAGGGACCGAUGUUCUAAGGUCUGGAGCCAGCUUACCUGUAUCCGGAGCAGCAGUGAGCCCUGGAUCAUCACCAGGACGGUCAAGAGCAACUGCAGUAUCUGGUGAAGGCUCUCAGCCCACUGUCGCAUUAUCUGGAGCAACAGGGACUAGUGCUGGACCAUCGGGCACCCGUUCCACCUCCUCUGCAAUACCGGCAACACCUGGAUCAACCACAGGAAGGGCAGCAGGAGCUGGGACCCCGGCUGUAGAUUCCCAGCAAACUGCCAGCUUGCCUGCAGCUGCAAGGCCGACCCCACUAGGACCAGGAACCAGUGCGCCUUCAGGUGAAACAUCAGAAAGCCGUUCAUCAGUA
ensembl:lncRNA